rnacentral:rRNA from 1 species
UAAUACGGAGGGUGCAAGCGUUAUCCGGGAUCACUGGGUUUAAAGGGUACGUAGGCGGUCUAAUAAGUCAGGUGUGAAAUACCGCGGCCUAACUGCGGAACUGCACUUGAUACUGUUAGACUUGAGUAGGGUGGAGGUACACGGAAUGCAUCAUGUAGCGGUGAAAUGCUUAGAUAUGAUGUAGAACACCGAUAGCGAAGGCAGUGUGCCAUACCUAUACUGACGCUGAGGUACGAAAGCGUGGGGAGCGAACAGGAUUAGAUACCCUGGUAGUCCACGCCCUAAACGAUGCUAACUGGACGUUUGGUCGGAAAAGAUUGAGCGUCUGAGGGAAACCAUUAAGUUAGCCACCUGGGGAGUACGUUCGCAAGAAUGAAACUCAAAGGAAUUGACGGGGGUCCGCACAAGCGGUGGAGUAUGUGGUUUAAUUCGAUGAUACGCGAGGAACCUUACCUGGGCUCGAACGCUACAUGAAUAAUGAGGAAACUUGUUAGGCUCGCAAGAGACAUGUA